GCGAGAUGUGGUAGAGCGUACAGGUGAAUAGAAUGGUUGCAUGAGGUGAUCGUGAUGACUCGGCGUAAAGCGCGUGUAGGUUGGUCAGUACGAUGGGUGUGAAAUCCCCUGGCUUAACCUGGGAACUGCUUUCAUAACUGCUGAGCUAGAGUACGGUAGAGGGUAGUGGAAUUUCCUGUGUAGCGGUGAAAUGCGUAGAUAUAGGAAGGAACACCAGGGGCGAAGGCGACUACCUGGACUGAUACUGACACUGAGGUGCGAAAGCGUGGGGAGCAAACAGGAUUAGAUACCCUUGUAGUC
rnacentral:rRNA from 1 species